GAUGGGUUGGGGCUCGCCUCCCGCACUCCUCUUUGUCGUGUACAAAAACCAAGGUGUCGAAUUAUUGAGGGAGGCUUCAGAUCGUCCUGGGCAUGGAGAUGAGGCUGGCCAUUAAGGAUGUGGGUGAAGGUCACGUCGUUUCUUCUCCUGGCUCCAAUAUCCACUGCUGAUAUUUUGAGUUCUUUGAUCUGAGAAAGAACCAUGGGAACAAUCUUGCAAAAAUGGAGGAUAUGGAUUUGGGGCGCGAACUGUCCCGACAACGGCGGUGCUGCCUACCAACACCAUGUGCAAGACUGCCUGACUUGUCCUCUAUCUUAGUGCAAGAAGUUACUCCAAAUUCCAUCGCCUAACAAUAUCAUCAGUUGUAAGAAGUUAGGAGUUUGGUACGUACCCCGG